rfam:Citrus sinensis cultivar Ridge Pineapple sweet orange scaffold00367_contig_32, whole genome shotgun sequence.
GGGUGCGACCAUACCAGCACUAAUGCACCGGAUCCCAUCAGAACCCUGCAGUUAAGCGUUCUUGGACAAGGGCAGUAUUAAGAUGGGUUACCUCUUGGGAAGUCCUCGUGUCGCACCCG